GAUGAAUGCUAGCGGCAGGCCUAAUACAUGCAAGUCGAACGGUGUCUUCGGACAUAGUGGCGCACGGGUGCGUAACACGUAUGCAACCUACCUUACAUUGGGGGAUAGCCUUUCGAAAGGGAGAUUAAUACCGCAUAAGACAGUAGCUGGGCAUCCAGCAGCUGUUAAAGAUUUAUCGAUGUAAGCUGGGCAUGCGUCCAAGUAGCUAGUUGGUGAGGUAACGGACCACCAAGGCAAUGAUUGGUAGGGGAACUGAGAGGUCAAUCCCCCACACUGGCACUGAGAUACGGGCCAGACUCCUACGGGAGGCAGCAGUAGGGAAUAUUGGGCAAUGGACGCAAGUCUGACCCAGCCAUGCCGCGUGCAGGAUGAAGGCGUUAUGCGUUGUAAACUGCUUUUAUACAGGAAGAAACGACUCUUGCGAGAGGCAUUGACGGUACUGUAUGAAUAAGCACCGGCUAACUCCGUGCCAGCCGCCGCAGUAAUAC
rnacentral:rRNA from 1 species